GAUGAACGCUGGCGGCGUGCUUAACACAUGCAAGUCGAACGGAAAGGCCCAAGCUUGCUUGGGUACUCGAGUGGCGAACGGGUGAGUAACACGUGGGUGAUCUGCCCUGCACUUCGGGAUAAGCCUGGGAAACUGGGUCUAAUACUGGAUAGGACCACUUCUUGGAUGUUGUGGUGGAAAGUUUUUUCGGUGUGGGAUGAGCUCGCGGCCUAUCAGCUUGUUGGUGGGGUAAUGGCCUACCAAGGCGUCGACGGGUAGCCGGCCUGAGAGGGUGUACGGCCACAUUGGGACUGAGAUACGGCCCAGACUCCUACGGGAGGCAGCAGUGGGGAAUAUUGCACAAUGGGCGCAAGCCUGAUGCAUCGACGCCGCGUGGGGGAUGACGGCCUUCGGGUUGUAAACUCCUUUCGCUAGGGACGAAGCGUUUUGUGACGGUACCUGGAGAAGAAGCACCGGCUAACUACGUG
rnacentral:rRNA from 1 species